AACGAACGCUGGCGGCAUGCCUAACACAUGCAAGUCGAACGGGAUCCUAGCUUGCUAGGUGAGAGUGGCGGACGGGUGAGUAACACGUGGGAAUCUGCCUUUUGGUUCGGGAUAACCGCGGGAAACUGCGGCUAAUACCGAAUGCCCUCGAGAGAGGAAAGGUUUAUCGCCAGAAGAGGAGCCCGCGUCCGAUUAGGUAGUUGGUGGGGUAAAGGCCUACCAAGCCGACGAUCGGUAGCUGGUCUGAGAGGAUGAUCAGCCACACUGGGACUGAGAUACGGCCCAGACUCCUACGGGAGGCAGCAGUGGGGAAUAUUGGACAAUGGGGCGAACCCUGAUCCAGCAAUGCCGCGUGAGUGAUGAAGGCCUUAGGGUUGUAAAGCUCUUUGUCCAGGGAAGAUGAUGACUGUACCUGGAGAAUAAGCCCCGGCUAACUUCGUGCCAGCAGCCGCGGUAAU
rnacentral:rRNA from 1 species